rnacentral:rRNA from 1 species
UGGGGAAUAUUGCGCAAUGGGCGAAAGCCUGACGCAGCGACGCCGCGUGCGGGAUGAAGGCCUUCGGGUUGUAAACCGCUUCCAGCAGGGACGAAGCGAAAGUGACGGUACCUGCAGAAGAAGCGCCGGCUAACUACGUGCCAGCAGCCGCGGUAACACGUAGGGCGCAAGCGUUGUCCGGAAUUAUUGGGCGUAAAGAGCUCGUAGGUGGUCCGCCGCGUCUGCUGUGAAAAUUCCAGGGCUUAACCCUGGACUUGCAGUGGAUACGGGCGAACUAGAGGUAGGUAGGGGAGAAUGGAAUUCCCGGUGUAGCGGUGAAAUGCGCAGAUAUCGGGGAGGAACACCGGUGGCGAAGGCGGUUCUCUGGGCCUUACCUGACACUGAGGAGCGAAAGCGUGGGGAGCGAACAGGAUUAGAUACC